UUUACAGAGAAAAAAAAAAUUUUUUUAACAGAAUCUUGCUCUGUCACCCAGGCUGGAGUGCAGUGGCACGAUCUCAGCUCACUUGCAAUCUGUGUCUCCCGGGUUCAAGUGAUACUCCCACCUCAGCCUGCCGAGUAGCCUGGAGUAGAGGCACGUGCCACCACAUCCGGCUAACUUUUUAAUUUUUUAUUUUUGGAAAGACCGGGUUUCAUUUUGUUUCUCCAGGAUGGUUCCAAACUCUACAAUCACACGAUCCUCCUGCCUAGGCCUCCCAAGGUGCUGGGGAUUACGAGCAUAUGAGCUAAAGUGCCCGGCAGACAAAAUUUAUUUCAACAAAACAUAACAUGAUGUUGAUUCCAAUUUCAGGAUGAAUACUAAAAAAGAGGAAUCUGAGAAGCUCAUUUAUAAAUGUGGUUACAAAAAUUGUACCUUAAAUAUUAUUAAGGUACAAUUAUUUGUGUGUGUGUGUGUGUGUGUGCCUUAAAUCAAGUUACACACACACACAAAUAAGGACAAAUGUUUACUGCUAUAAAUAACAAUUUAAAAACAUCAAAUAGAGACAAACUUUACUAAUGGAACAAGGAGACCUCAUACAAUCUUUUCUCAUCAUUGCAUCUGUUAUAGAAUUCAUUUAAAUACAUAACAGAAACCCAUAGUGCAGAAAUUGCUAAAUCAGAAAUUCAUUGAACACACCUUUUUCAAGCUUCCUAGAAACUGAAGUAAGUACUGUAACGCAUUCACAUUUGUCUAAUUCUAAUAUUUCCCAUUCUACAAUCAUUUUGAAUGCAGAACUUAAUGUCCUGUGAGUAUGCAUCACUUAGGGUGAAAGCAUCCAAUGAGAGCACCCAAACCCCACUCUCCGCUGGCUCAAGGAAUGUAUCUUCAGCCCUGGGCCUCAGCCAUUGGCUCAAGAUGGGAGCAGGUGACCUGACCUGAUCCAUUAAGUGCCCUCCUAGCUGUUCAGGCUCGCAAAUUGAGGAGAAAAUUAGUUUGUGCUUUUUGUCUACUUUAUAUUUCUUUGUUUGAUUUUUUGCCUUAUUGUAAUUGUGGUGAUUUCAGGAUGUGAAUCCAAAGCUGUGAGUAAGCACGUGUCCUGCCUCUUGCAUCAUACUGUGAAGAAAGAUUCUCUGAAAAGGAAUCUGGAGUCUGGAAAAACAGAAAACAACCAAUCCCGGUGAGAGGACUUCUUGCUUCUACAUCCUUUCUCUUUGGAUCCCAAGUGGAGCUCUGGAGGUGACCUUCUACCCGUACCCGUCUGCACUACUCAGGGAAGCUCUGGCUUCUAUCCUGCUCUGCGCUCAUUUCCAUCUGACCAAGCGGUCCUCCCCUCAAAGGGCAUAUACUGAACUUCUGGAAUAUUCCACCAUCCAGUCGCAGGAGAACGAGAGUGAAAAGGGUAAAGAUCAGUGCAUUGAUAACAUCACCAUAAAGAUAACCUAGAAAGAAAACUAAUAAAAACGACCAUUUAGGAAACUGAGGAAAUGAAGCAGGAUCGAGGAAAAACCCACUACUUUUCCUUGGAGCGAAUGGCACUACAGAUAUAUUGGAGUUGACAGUGUCUAGUACCGAGGGAGAAAUGCUUGAAAAAUCGCAGGAUGCCACAUGCCACAUGCUACCCCCCCCGACACGAUUUCGAAAGAACGCCAGCCACCCCAACCUCCGCUGGGGUCCCCCCCCCUUGGGGAGCCACUGGUCUUUCCGUGGUGCUCACGGGCUCCUGAGGUAGCUCACUUGCUCCUGGUGUACCUGAGAA